CGCGCGCGGAGCCCCAUAGGUAUAGAAAUGGUCUAUAACUAGGCCACUCAGUUUUUGUCUAUAUAGGUAUAGAAAUGGUCUAUAACUAGGCGACUCAGUUUUUGUGGUCAAUGACGUCAAUCUGCCAGCCAGCCAGCCGCGAUCUGCCUCGGCACAGUCCUCCAGAGCGCGCAAAACAAUAUGGCGGAUGAGUAUUUCUGCCUCUCUCAAAAACACACGAAAACUGACUGCAGAAAAGCUAAGAAUUGUCGAAAAAGAAGUGCUUGAAAACAAUCAUUCGUAGAAAUGCUAACCAUGGAUAUGAACUUGUCUAAUUAUGUGCAAAAGACUGUUUAAAAGCAUGGUUGAAAGUUUUAAAGAGUCAAGUCUUGUGCUCGAGUCAAGGUCAGCUGAAAUGUCAGAGUAAGCCACAAGAUAAAGAAAGAAAAAACAAGCUAAUUUUAUAGACACCUUCUCCGACAAGUGCUCCUAUGUAUUUGUUCUUGCACAGGCAGACGUAGGUUAAUCUUAGCCAGAGAUUCUGAAAUCAAGCUGAGACAAAAGCUGCUGACUAAGAGGCAUGACCCAGGGCAGGAUGUACAUAUAAGGCAUUGGUAUUUAAUGUAGGUCACCAAAAAUAAACACAUACUAAGUAACAAAAAUUAAGAUAAUAUUUUAAUGGAAAAUUGUUCUAAAAAAAUGAACCAGGGUUAUAAAAGUAAAAAAACCUAGUUUUUUCCAAGUUAACCUGACAUGUUCUUGUAUAAUGUGUGGUUAGUGACAUUUAGGCAAUUUAGGUUCAUAAAUAGUCUCUUGCUAUUACAAUGACUCACUGAGGUAGUAAGUUAAUCA